UUCAAAUUUUCAUUGUCUCUAGCCAAGAGAGAAUGUAAAAUGGCUUCAUCAGGUGCAGCAAAGAAGCACUUCAGAAUCCACCCAUAACUCAACAGACACAAAGCUCUGUGUCAGGUCUGCAAGGUGCUGUAAGAUCUCUAUGAGGAUAUGGGAACGUUUCUGGAACAAGAGACUGCUUUGGACUAUGAGGAUUCUUUUACUGAGGAUAACAUCAAGCAUUUUUAAGGAGAUGACACUCACUGUUAAAAUGCAAACAGCUGAGGGAGUGGCUCUAGGAUAGUGCUGCACGUGCAUUUUGUCCUUUCCAGUGAAUUAAGAAGAAAACCUACAAAAACAACAUCCUAGUUUGCUUCAAA